ensembl:misc_RNA Metazoa_SRP Metazoan signal recognition particle RNA
ACUGGGUGUGGUGGGCACAACUAUAAUCCUUGCUACAAUGUAGGCUGAGACUGGUGGAUUACUUAAACUAUGGAAUUCUGAGCUGCACUGGGCUAAAAUGGUUAGUUGUCUUCACUAAGUCUGGCACCAGUGUGGUGAAUCUCUGGGAGUGGGAGGCCACCAGGCUGCCUAAGGAUGAGUGAACCGGUCCAGUUUGGAAACAGAGCAGGUCAAAGCUCCCAUGCCAAUUAGGAUGGCUCCCCUGGGCCAUCACCAGUAGUCUUGACCUUUGUCUUGGU